GGCGGCGUGGCUUAGUUGGUUAAAGCGCCUGUCUAGUAAACAGCAGAUCACGAGUUCGAAUCUCAUCGGUGCCU
rnacentral:tRNA from 1 species